rnacentral:sRNA from 1 species
AUUUCAUCCUCCCAGCUGUGCAGCUUCUCUUCUAAAUGUUCUGGACGUGGCAUGACGAGCGCUUCCUCUACAUGCUCAUGGAGUACGUGCCGGGUGGCGAGCUCUUCAGCUACCUGCGCAACCGGGGGCGCUUCUCCAGCACCACGGGGCUCUUCUACUCUGCGGAGAUCAUCUGUGCCAUCGAGUACCUGCACUCCAAGGAGAUCGUCUACAGGGAUUUGAAGCCGGAGAACAUCCUGCUGGAUAGGGAUGGCCACAUCAAGCUCACGGACUUUGGGUUCGCCAAGAAGCUGGUAGACAGGACUUGGACCCUCUGUGGAACACCCGAGUACCUAGCCCCCGAAGUCAUUCAGAGCAAGGGCCACGGAAGGGCUGUGGACUGGUGGGCCCUCGGCAUCCUGAUAUUCGAGAUGCUUUCGGGGUUUCCUCCGUUUUUUGAUGACAACCCGUUUGGCAUUUAUCAGAAAAUUCUUGCAGGCAAAAUAGAUUUCCCCAGACAUUUGGAUUUCCACGUAAAAGACCUCAUUAAGAAACUGCUCGUGGUUGACAGAACAAGGCGAUUAGGAAACAUGAAGAACGGGGCGAAUGAUGUGAAACGUCAUCGGUGGUUCCGCUCCGUGGACUGGGAAGCUGUUCCGCAGAGAAAACUGAAGCCUCCCAUCGUGCCCA